rnacentral:rRNA from 1 species
UACAGAGGGUGCAAGCGUUAUUCGGAAUUACUGGGCGUAAAGCGUGCGUAGACGGUUACAUAAGUCGGUUGUGAAAGCCCCGGGCUCAACCUGGGAAUUGCAUUCGAGACUGUGUAGCUAGGAUGCGGAAGAGGGAAGCGGAAUUUCCGGUGUAGCGGUGAAAUGCGUAGAUAUCGGAAGGAACACCAGUGGCGAAAGCGGCUUCCUGGUCCAGCAUCGACGUUCAGGCACGAAAGCGUGGGGAGCAAACAGG